AGCUCGUGGAAGUUGCUUGAUAAGCUUCCUAGCUUGUAGAAGCUGCUUGAGAAGCUUCCUAGCUUGUAAUAUAUAUAAGAGUUGAGACUGAGGGGAUCCUGAGUCUCGACAAUACAUCUCUUGGAGCUCUAGCUCACCUCUCUAGUGUUGUUCUUAUACUCAUCUGAUUAAUUUAAUUCUUGUCGAUUCUUCUUGAGCUUCUUAUUUAGAUUUCCAAUCAAUAUUCUAAAUUUGUGAUAGUGAAUUA
rnacentral:lncRNA from 1 species